GGGUUGUGAGGUUAAGCGACUAAGCGUACACGGUGGAUGCCCUGGCAGUCAGAGGCGAUGAAGGGCGUGCUAAUCUGCGAUAAGCGCCGGUAAGGUGAUAUGAACCGUUAUAACCGGCGAUACCCGAAUGGGGAAACCCAGUGUGAUUCGUCACACUAUCAUUAACUGAAUCCAUAGGUUAAUGAGGCGAACCGGGGGAACUGAAACAUCUAAGUACCCCGAGGAAAAGAAAUCAACCGAGAUUCCCCCAGUAGCGGCGAGCGAACGGGGAGGAGCCCAGAGCCUGAAUCAGCAUGUGUGUUAGUGGAAGCGUCUGGAAAGGCGCGCGAUACAGGGUGACAGCCCCGUACACAAAAGCGCAUGUGCUGUGAGCUCGAUGAGUAGGGCGGGACACGUGGUAUCCUGUCUGAAUAUGGGGGGACCAUCCUCCAAGGCUAAAUACUCCUGACUGACCGAUAGUGAACCAGUACCGUGAGGGAAAGGCGAAAAGAACCCCGGCGAGGGGAGUGAAAAAGAACCUGAAACCGUGUACGUACAAGCAGUGGGAGCGCGACUGCGUACCUUUUGUAUAAUGGGUCAGCGACUUAUAUUCUGUAGCAAGGUUAACCGAAUAGGGGAGCCGGAGGGAAACCGAGUCUUAAUUGGGCGUUAAGUUGCAGGGUAUAGACCCGAAACCCGGUGAUCUAGCCAUGGGCAGGUUGAAGGUUGGGUAACACUAACUGGAGGACCGAACCGACUAAUGUUGAAAAAUUAGCGGAUGACCUGUGGCUGGGGGUGAAAGGCCAAUCAAACCGGGAGAUAGCUGGUUCUCCCCGAAAGCUAUUUAGGUAGCGCCUCGUGAAUUCAUCUCCGGGGGUAGAGCACUGUUUCGGCUAGGGGGCCAUCCCGGCUUACCAACCCGAUGCAAACUGCGAAUACCGGAGAAUGUUAUCACGGGAGACACACGGCGGGUGCUAACGUCCGUCGUGAAGAGGGAAACAACCCAGACCGCCAGCUAAGGUCCCAAAGUCAUGGUUAAGUGGGAAACGAUGUGGGAAGGCCCAGACAGCCAGGAUGUUGGCUUAGAAGCAGCCAUCAUUUAAAGAAAGCGUAAUAGCUCACUGGUCGAGUCGGCCUGCGCGGAAGAUGUAACGGGGCUAAACCAUGCACCGAAGCUGCGGCAGCGANNGUUGGGUAGGGGAGCGUUCUGUAAGCCUGUGAAGGUGUGUCGUGAGGCAUGCUGGAGGUAUCAGAAGUGCGAAUGCUGACAUAAGUAACGAUAAAGCGGGUGAAAAGCCCGCUCGCCGGAAGACCAAGGGUUCCUGUCCAACGUUAAUCGGGGCAGGGUGAGUCGACCCCUAAGGCGAGGCCGAAAGGCGUAGUCGAUGGGAAACGGGUUAAUAUUCCCGUACUUGGUGUUACUGCGAAGGGGGGACGGAGAAGGCUAUGUUGGCCGGGCGACGGUUGUCCCGGUUUAAGCGUGUAGGUGUGUGUUCCAGGUAAAUCCGGUUCACUUUAACACUGAGGCGUGAUGACGAGGCACUACGGUGCUGAAGUAACAAAUGCCCUGCUUCCAGGAAAAGCCUCUAAGCAUCAGGUAACAUCAAAUCGUACCCCAAACCGACACAGGUGGUCAGGUAGAGAAUACCAAGGCGCUUGAGAGAACUCGGGUGAAGGAACUAGGCAAAAUGGUGCCGUAACUUCGGGAGAAGGCACGCUGACACGUAGGUGAAGUGAUUUACUCAUGGAGCUGAAGUCAGUCGAAGAUACCAGCUGGCUGCAACUGUUUAUUAAAAACACAGCACUGUGCAAACACGAAAGUGGACGUAUACGGUGUGACGCCUGCCCGGUGCCGGAAGGUUAAUUGAUGGGGUCAGCGCAAGCGAAGCUCCUGAUCGAAGCCCCGGUAAACGGCGGCCGUAACUAUAACGGUCCUAAGGUAGCGAAAUUCCUUGUCGGGUAAGUUCCGACCUGCACGAAUGGCGUAAUGAUGGCCAGGCUGUCUCCACCCGAGACUCAGUGAAAUUGAACUCGCUGUGAAGAUGCAGUGUACCCGCGGCAAGACGGAAAGACCCCGUGAACCUUUACUAUAGCUUGACACUGAACAUUGAGCCUUGAUGUGUAGGAUAGGUGGGAGGCUUUGAAGUGUGGACGCCAGUCUGCAUGGAGCCGACCUUGAAAUACCACCCUUUAAUGUUUGAUGUUCUAACGUGGACCCGUGAUCCGGGUUGCGGACAGUGUCUGGUGGGUAGUUUGACUGGGGCGGUCUCCUCCUAAAGAGUAACGGAGGAGCACGAAGGUUGGCUAAUCCUGGUCGGACAUCAGGAGGUUAGUGCAAUGGCAUAAGCCAGCUUGACUGCGAGCGUGACGGCGCGAGCAGGUGCGAAAGCAGGUCAUAGUGAUCCGGUGGUUCUGAAUGGAAGGGCCAUCGCUCAACGGAUAAAAGGUACUCCGGGGAUAACAGGCUGAUACCGCCCAAGAGUUCAUAUCGACGGCGGUGUUUGGCACCUCGAUGUCGGCUCAUCACAUCCUGGGGCUGAAGUAGGUCCCAAGGGUAUGGCUGUUCGCCAUUUAAAGUGGUACGCGAGCUGGGUUUAGAACGUCGUGAGACAGUUCGGUCCCUAUCUGCCGUGGGCGCUGGAGAACUGAGGGGGGCUGCUCCUAGUACGAGAGGACCGGAGUGGACGCAUCACUGGUGUUCGGGUUGUCAUGCCAAUGGCACUGCCCGGUAGCUAAAUGCGGAAGAGAUAAGUGCUGAAAGCAUCUAAGCACGAAACUUGCCCCGAGAUGAGUUCUCCCUGAGACUUAAAGUCUCCUGAAGGAACGUUGAAGACGACGACGUUGAUAGGCCGGGUGUGUAAGCGCAGCGAUGCGUUGAGCUAACCGGUACUAAUGAACCGUGAGGCUUAACCCUACAACGCCGAAG
rnacentral:rRNA from 1 species